rnacentral:lncRNA from 1 species
AACUAACUUCUGAACUAUUAGACUAUAGAAAAUGUUCCUGUAUGUCAUUGUUUUUAACCCAAUGAUUCUUGAAGGCAACAUACAUACAGUCUUCAACUAUAACCAGGUGUUAUUACAACUGGAUCUAACUGACCUCGAGUCUUGAAUAGUAUUGUUGUGAAGGAAUUUAACAGCUAGUAGCAAAGGUCUGCUAUCAACACUCCGCUUUUCAAUUGACAAAAAAAUAAUAAGAUAUGCAUAAAAA